rnacentral:rRNA from 1 species
ACGCUGGCGGCGUGCCUAAUACAUGCAAGUAGAACGCUGAAGAGAGGAGCUUGCUCUUCUUGGAUGAGUUGCGAACGGGUGAGUAACGCGUAGGUAACCUGCCUUGUAGCGGGGGAUAACUAUUGGAAACGAUAGCUAAUACCGCAUAACAAUGGAUGACACAUGUCAUUUAUUUGAAAGGGGCAAUUGCUCCACUACAAGAUGGACCUGCGUUGUAUUAGCUAGUAGGUGAGGUAACGGCUCACCUAGGCGACGAUACAUAGCCGACCUGAGAGGGUGAUCGGCCACACUGGGACUGAGACACGGCCCAGACUCCUACGGGAGGCAGCAGUAGGGAAUCUUCAGCAAUGGGGGCAACCCUGACCGAGCAACGCCGCGUGAGUGAAGAAGGUUUUCGGAUCGUAAAGCUCUGUUGUAAGUCAAGAACGAGUGUGAGAGUGGAAAGUUCACACUGUGACGGUAGCUUACCAGAAAGGGACGGCUAACUACGUGCCAGCAGCCGCGGUAAUACGUAGGUCCCGAGCGUUGUCCGGAUUCAUUGGGCGUAAAGCGAGCGCAGGCGGUUUGAUAAGUCUGAAGUUAAAGGCUGUGGCUCAACCAUAGUUCGCUUUGGAAACUGUCAAACUUGAGUGCAGAAGGGGAGAGUGGAAUUCCAUGUGUAGCGGUGAAAUGCGUAGAUAUAUGGAGGAACACCGGUGGCGAAAGCGGCUCUCUGGUCUGUAACUGACGCUGAGGCUCGAAAGCGUGGGGAGCGAACAGGAUUAGAUACCCUGGUAGUCCACGCCGUAAACGAUGAGUGCUAGGUGUUGGAUCCUUUCCGGGAUUCAGUGCCGCAGCUAACGCAUUAAGCACUCCGCCUGGGGAGUACGACCGCAAGGUUGAAACUCAAAGGAAUUGACCGGGGGCCCGCACAAGCGG